UGAGCAAUCUGCCCUUCUCAUCGGAAUAGGCGUUGGAAACGACGUCUAAUGCCGAAUACGACCUCCUUUCGCAUGAUCGGAGGUGGAAAGCUCCGGCGGAGAAGGAUGAGCUCGCGGCCUAUCAGCUUGUUGGUGAGGUAAUGGCUCACCAAGGCGACGACGGGUAGCCGGCCUGAGAGGGUGACCCGGCCACACGUGGGACUGAGACACGGCCCAGACCUCCGUAGGAGGCG
rnacentral:rRNA from 1 species